rnacentral:lncRNA from 1 species
UGCCGCGCUAUGCGUUCGAGGAUGAUCCACGGACAUACUUCCGCGACCUCCGUGCAAAAAAGCCCCUCGUAUACUAGUGCUAACUCGUCCUCGGUAUGUUCCACCUCACGUAAGUACGCCGUGUACAUGCGUACGAGUAUUCGUGUAUGGUGGUAUUUGUGUCCGUACGGUUUAGUGCUAUUAUGUUGUGUAUGUAUGCAGGCAGGAUGCGUAUGCAAGUUUAAGAAUCUCUAUUCCUAAUUGCUUGUAAAUACGUUUUUUUGUUACAUGGUUUUUUCGGAAACGCUUCCAGCCGGGGUUUGACAAGGGCUUGCAAUAUUUUUUCGUUCAUAUUUACUUCAACCACAUUUAAAUUUGUUACAACCUUUUCUUAUUUUGUUACAAUUUGUCCAUUGAAAAGUUACAUUCACGUUUUGUUGCAACUCGAGUUUGUUGAAUUUUUUCUGCUUCAACCGGCAUUUGAUUUUACUUACAACCGUGUUAAUUUUUGCUAUAACCGGUAUCAUUUUUUGGUGUAACCGUUCAUUCAAAAAGUUGCAUACACAUUCGUGAGAGUUGUAACCCAAGUUCAUAGGAUUGUUUUGCUACAAC